rnacentral:lncRNA from 1 species
GGCUAAUGUAUUUAGAAACCAAGAAGAUCAUCAAAAGUCAUGAUGUAGAGUUUUUGGAUCAUAAGAGUAUUUUUGAGCACUUGGAAGAGUGUCCAAGUGGGAGUGAAGGUGUGUUUGUGGACACAUCUUCAAGUUCAACAAAGAAAGAAGAAGAAGAUGAUACUGAUAAUGAAGAUGCAGGAAAUAGAAGUUAAGAUCAAGUGCCAAAGAAGGUAAAUCAUAGUGUACCUUCAAUUGCUAGAACCAACAAUGAAGACAAUAAAGAUAUUGAAGGUGAUGAUGAUGAUGAAGAAUAUCAACCUUUGAGUG